UACGGAGGAUCCGAGCGUUAUCUGGAUUUAUUGGGUUUAAAGGGAGCGUAGGUGGAUUGUUAAGUCAGUUGUGAAAGUUUGCGGCUCAACCGUAAAAUUGCAGUUGAAACUGGCAGUCUUGAGUACAGUAGAGGUGGGCGGAAUUCGUGGUGUAGCGGUGAAAUGCUUAGAUAUCACGAAGAACUCCGAUUGCGAAGGCAGCUCACUGGACUGCAACUGACACUGAGGCUCGAAAGUGUGGGUAUCAAACAGG
rnacentral:rRNA from 1 species